AGUAACACGUGGGUGAUCUGCCCUGCACUUCGGGAUAAGCUUGGGAAACUGGUCUAAUACCGGAUAGGACUACGGACUGCAUGGUCUGUGGUGGAAAGCUUUUGCGGUGUGGGAUGGGCCCGCGGCCUAUCAGCUUGUUGGUGGGGUGAUGGCCUACCAAGGCGACGACGGGUAGCCGGCCUGAGAGGGUGUCCGGCCACACUGGGACUGAGAUACGGCCCAG
rnacentral:rRNA from 1 species